rnacentral:tRNA from 1 species
GCGGGUGUGGCGGAAUUGGCAUACGCACUAGACUUAGGAUCUAGCGCCUGACGGCGUGGGGGUUCGACUCCCUUCACCCGCA